GUGUAGGUAUGCCACCUUGCCGAAUCCCAUGAGGAUUCACGUUGUGAAUCUUCAAGUCCUUUCACAAUUAAAACCUAAUAUAAACACAUUUCAUCGCCGCCAUUGUUUUCUGCUAUCAAUCCACACCUUAGCCUCAAUACACAGAUCGAUUACUUUGAUUUGUUAUUUGCGCUCCAUCAAUUUGAAUUUUCACGUUAUUUGGAAUGGGGUGGUGCCCUGUUGAUGAGCGGCGGUGGCUCUGCAGCACUCAUCACUUGUUCUCCGUGGCGCUGGGCUUCGUUAGUGUGGUCAGCUGGUGUGUGGCUGAGAUACCUCAGAUCAUCACCAAUUACAGAAACAAAUCAGCUGAGGGCCUCUCCAUUCUCUUUCUCAUCACAUGGAUUGUGGGAGAUUCUUUCAACCUUUUUGGCUGCAUACUAGAACCAGAGACUCUUCCAACACAAUAUUAUACAGCAGUGUUAUAUGCAGUAACUACUAUUAUUCUUACCUUACAAGCGGUUUAUUAUGUCCACAUUUAUCCACGACUGAAGUCCAACAACAGGAGGCAGGAGGCUGUGCAAACUGAAGCUGCAGAGAGAAGAGAGCACAAUAAUGAUUCUGAUAAUGAAAAUGGCAGUUUUGUACAGAGAUGGGGAGUGCCUCCAAGUUCAACUACUCAUGUCGUAUCCAGAUCACCCAGUAGCUAUGAUGAGCUAUAUUUCAUGUCAGCAAGAUCACUUUCAGUAAGUCGGACACCUCCUGCAGGGUCCUUCCUCGGUCCGAGAAGUCCUCUUUUGGACAUCGAGCAACGUUGGUUCAGAGAACCAUUGUUAGGUGAAGGCAGGUCACCAAAAUCUGGUACUCCAAAAAUCAAAACCAUGCUGUGUGUGGUUUCCUUGAUGACAUUCUUAGUGGGCAGUCACAACCACCUACGAUCAGAAAAACUUGUAAACAAUUCAGUUCUCAAAAAUCCAACAGGGGGCAUCGUGUUGCAAGUUGGAAGAAAACUUUUAGAGGCUAUGGGAAGUUCAGCACACGAUAAUUUGGCUGCAAGCUUCAGUGGUAUAGGGUCCGUCCUUGGUUGGGGAAUGGCAGCUAUCUACAUGGGUGGACGUCUACCUCAGAUUUACCUUAAUAUUAAAAGGGGGCAUACAGAGGGGCUUAACCCAUUGAUGUUUGUCUUUGCUGUUAUUGGCAAUACUACAUAUGUGGCAAGCAUCCUGGUUAACAGCUUAAACUGGUUAAAAGUAAAACCUAAUCUUCCUUGGCUGGUGGACGCUGGGGGAUGUGUAAUUCUUGAUGUUUUUAUACUCAUUCAGUUUGCCUACUUCCGUUAUCGACGGAGGAAUGAAGUAGAGAAGUAUAUCUCUUGAAUGACCUCUAAAGAUCAUGAAUAAACAGAGCCUCAGGUAGCCUCUUACAUGAACUGGACAUUGAACAAUUGUGGAGGGAAGGGACUCUUCUCUGACUGCAUUAGAUCGAUCACCUUACCUCUGUAACUCAGCAGCACUACCAUAUUCUUUUUCUUUGUUAUGUUAAACGAUUUGAACGCCUAUAACUAGUCUAUCACUAGAAUUUAUGUCCAUUUGCCAACUGUGCUUCAAAUUUUGUGGUAAGAUAUCUUGUAAAUUCAGCUCACAUA